rnacentral:lncRNA from 1 species
CUCCAUUUCAGUUCUCAUUUAUCUUUUUAAAAAGAAGUUAGCCGGGUAUGGCAGCACACAACUGUAAUCUCAGCAAUUUGGGAAGCUGAAGCAGAAGGAUCACAAGUUCAGCGCCAGCCUUAGCAAUUUAGUGAGCUCCUUCCAUCUCAAAAAAAAUAUUUUAAUAAAUUUUUAAAAGGGCUGGGGAUGUGGCUCAGUGGUUAAGUACCCCCCUCCCCACCCCAAAUUCAAUCCCUGGUACCAAAAAAGAAGAUCCAGUUAAUUAUUUAAGUGCUUGUAUAAUGUUGAGUUAGAAAUAAACAAUGUGUUGGAGAGGCAAAUGGGAUAAAAUAACAAAAAGUAAGAGAUUAAAGAGCCAUUUUGAGGACAGAUGCAGAGAAUCAGAAGGCCUUAAAUUUGUGUCUGAAAAAUGUUCAGGAAAUUCUUGAGGCUUCCAUCAGAACUUAGACCUUAUCAAAAAGUACGUCUAUUUCUUUCUCCUUUAGUAAAUACGCUGAUGUUUUCUGUUUCACUUUCUUGCCAAGUUCAUGGGAUGAUUAUUGUUUAAUUAAGGAGAGUUUGGCUUGUUAACAUUUUAAAUGUCAUCCACUCAGCUGAUACUAAGGCUUAGAGCUUGAGCUUUUGUCCUCUCGUGCUUUUGCCCUACUUAUGCUUUAAACUUGGACUAAGAAUGAUUUUGAAAGCUAAGAAUUUUAUUUUUUUUAAAACUAGGAAAUUAAUCAAAGUUAUUGUAAGUUAGCCUAUUUGUAAUGAAUACGAGAAAGUUUUUGCUCAUUUUGGAAAUGGAUAAUUUCCAGAGACAGAAACCUAGAAGUUAGGAGUAGAUAUCUCUUUAUCUUUCUUUCAGGAAGCAUGUUAUCUGGCUAAGAAGAUAACUUCUGUAAACAGAUGAUGACAGGAGAUGUGUUGCAGACAGUGGGUGAAGAAGGAGAUACUAUGGGAGGAAGGUUCAUUGCAACUGGGAGAGUUAGGGAAUGAUCCAUAGAAAGAGCAAGCAGGCAAGAACCCUGGGUUCUAUCCCUAGUACUGGGGGUAGACUGAAAGAUCACUGAAAUAAGGAUUGGGGGGAAUGGGCAAGCAGGCUCCAUUCUUGACCUAACAAGAUGGACUGGUGCAUCCAUUUAAAUCUAUGAGUGUAUCUAUUAGUUACAUGUCUGCUUCUCUGACAUAAUGUUAGACCCAGUUGAUAAAAUGGGCAUGAUCCAUUUGAGAGAUUUUAG